ensembl:misc_RNA Y_RNA Y RNA
GGCUGGUCCGAGUGCAGUGGUGUUUAAAACUAAUUGAUCACAACCAGUUACAGAUUUCUUUGUUCCUUCUCCACUCCCACUGCUUCACUUGACUAGCCUUAA